rnacentral:ncRNA from 1 species
UUGGUUAGAACUCAACUCAGGUUACGGCCGCACAGGCCCUGACAAAAUGCUCGCCACGCCGGCAGCGAGCACACCAACGGCAGAACACUCUGCCCCGGCCUCUGGAAGGCCGACGCUAAAUAAACAGUCAAC